AGGACGAACGCUGGCGGCGUGCUUAACACAUGCAAGUCGAACGAGGUGCUUCGGCACUUAGUGGCGAACGGGUGAGUAACACGUGAGCAACCUGCCCUUGGCUCUGGGGAUAACCUCCGGAAACGGGGAUUAAUACCGGACAUGACUCUCUCCUGCAUGGGGGAGGGUGGAAAGUUUUUCGGCCAGGGAGGGCUCGCGGCCUAUCAGCUUGUUGGGGGGUAACGCCCACCGAAGGCGACGACGGGUAGCC
rnacentral:rRNA from 1 species